rnacentral:rRNA from 1 species
UACGUAGGGGGCAAGCGUUGUCCGGAUUUAUUGGGCGUAAAGAGCGUGUAGGCGGCCUGGUAGGUCGGUUGUGAAAACUCGAGGCUCAACCUCGAGACGUCGACCGAAACCACCUGGCUAGAGUCCGGAAGAGGAGAGUGGAAUUCCUGGUGUAGCGGUGAAAUGCGCAGAUAUCAGGAGAACACCCGUGGCGAAAGCGGCUCUCUGGGACGGUACUGACGCUGAGACGCGAAAGCGUGGGGAGCGAACAGG